UUCUAAGUCGAAAGAGUUGCUGAGUUAAAUUACAGGGGCCUGGGCGGAAUGAUUAACAACCCUCAUGCUUUUCUGCAUCCCAGUCAUUACUCACUCCAAACCUGGGGCUUCUCGGUUACAUAGCCUAGUUCAGGCCGACCAUUUUUUCCAUUGACUGAAAACACAUUCUGACUGAAAACAAACUUUGGAUCCCCGAGGCUUGGCAGGCCCUGGGUCCUUCUCCAUAUUUAAUCAACGGGAAGCUAAACACUUUCAGUCUGUGAUGGCUCAUUUGGACGGGGGCUUAGGGCUUUUGCUCGGUGCCAGAUAUAAUAACUCUCCCCUCUCUUUUCUGAGGCCUAUUUUAUAAUUUUGCUGUUUUUCAAUGUCAGGCCCAUCUUUUGAAGAAUUUUUAUUGGAUUUCCUGCUAGACUUCAACGAGGAUUUUUCUUUCUUUGGCAGAAAUAUCAAGCAGAACAGGGGAAAAACUCAAUCAUCCUCUUGGAAAGUGGGGGGGAGGGGAUGAUUGUGAGCUUGGAGCCCUUUGUUUGCUCACAAACAUGUUCUCAUUCUGAGUGAGCUGGAGCCCUGCUGCCAGUUGGGCCCUUCUAACCUUUGACUCAUGGGGAAAACAGACAGGAUCAAGACAAAUGGUGGGGAGCGGUAGAAAGUCAGCUCAGGUCGAAGGGGGGGACGGAGAAUGGAUGACAACGUAUAGAGAUAGGUCAUGUGCGUUCCCAUGCCUCCAUCCAUGGCACGCCUGGUGAGGAGAGACAGGAUUUACCUGAGUGCUGUCCAGGAUCUAUCCUCUAGCAAGUAAAUAACCUGUCAUUCAAUAAACUACCCAGACCAGAUUCCCUGGGACCAUGUUGAUUUGGGAGUGAGACAUCUAUUGAAGCCCAGGGACAAGAUGUCCUACAUAAAGAAAUCUGAACAAAUUCCUUUAAGGUCAGGCCCCCAGGGUUGCAUUUCCAGAGUUGCCAAGCUAUUGCUGCCAUGGACAGUUAGUGUUCUUUUCAAUAAAGAAAAAUAAAAAAUCAAUCAAUUUAUUGAAAA